CUACGGAGGGUGCAAGCGUUACUCGGAAUCACUGGGCGUAAAGCGCGCGCAGGCGGCUAUUUAAGUUGGAUGUGAAAGCCUACGGCUCAACCGUAGAACUGCAUCCAAAACUAUUUAGCUAGAGUGUGGGAGAGGAAGAUGGAAUUAGUUGUGUAGGGGUAAAAUCCGUAGAGAUAACUAGGAAUACCAAAAGCGAAGGCAAUCUUCUGGAACACUACUGACGCUGAGGCGCGAAAGCGUGGGGGGCAAACAGGAUUAGAAACCCUAGUAGUCC
rnacentral:rRNA from 1 species